rnacentral:rRNA from 1 species
UGAACGCUGGCGGCGUGCUUAACACAUGCAAGUCGAACGAUGAAGCCCAGCUUGCUGGGUGGAUUAGUGGCGAACGGGUGAGUAACACGUGAGUAACCUGCCCUUGACUCUGGGAUAAGCCUGGGAAACUGGGUCUAAUACUGGAUAUGACUUCUCAUCGCAUGGUGGGGGGUGGAAAGAUUUAUUGGUCUUGGAUGGACUCGCGGCCUAUCAGCUUGUUGGUGAGGUAAUGGCUCACCAAGGCGACGACGGGUAGCCGGCCUGAGAGGGUGACCGGCCACACUGGGACUGAGACACGGCCCAGACUCCUACGGGAGGCAGCAGUGGGGAAUAUUGCACAAUGGGCGCAAGCCUGAUGCAGCGACGCCGCGUGGGGGAUGACGGCCUUCGGGUUGUAAACCUCUUUCAGUAGGGAAGAAGCGAGAGUGACGGUACCUGCAGAAGAAGCGCCGGCUAACUACGU